UACGAAGGGGGCUAGCGUUGUCCGGAUUUAUUGGGUUUAAAGGGUGCGUAGGCGGCUUUGUAAGUCAGUGGUGAAAUAUGUCAGCUCAACUGAGAGGGUGCCAUUGAUACUGCAGAGCUUGAGUACAGAUGAGGUAGGCGGAAUUGACGGUGUAGCGGUGAAAUGCUUAGAUAUCGUCAAGAACACCUAUAGCGAAGGCAGUUUACUAGGUUGUAACUGACGCUGAGGCACGAAAGUGUGGGGAUCAAACAGG
rnacentral:rRNA from 1 species